GCAUUGUAUAACGUCUUAUUGUUUGCUGUGCGUGGCUAAACCGCUCUCAGGGGGGCACUUCCGUCGACGCCCGAUUCCGAUGCAGAGCUGACCAGGAUUCGUUUGUUUUUUAACAGGGAAACGGCGAAGGUAAGUGUUUUAUCUAAUUUACAAUAUGUAUUUUAUAAUAUAUUUAUUUUCAGCGAUAUUUAAAUGCUUUGUGCGCUUAAACGAGCCGAAUAUUUUCUCUAGUCUAAGCCAAGGCGACUAUCUUCUUUGACUCAAAACUGAGCUGACGACGAGGGAGGUUUGCUUGUAACGUUAACAGGAAAAACACAGAAAGUAAGUGUUUUUAAUCUAAUCUACAAUAUGUAUUUCAUGGCAUUAUAUUGUUUUUUUAACAAUAUAUGUGAUGUGCUUUUAACAGUAAAAACAAAUAGUAAGUGUUUUAACUCCUUACAUUACGUGUUUUAUAUUGUUUAUGACAAUAUUUGUGAUGUGCAAAUAGUAAAAGUAUUUAUCCUCCUCAAACUAUCUUUUACAACUCACAGACUGCAGACCAACAAUGCACGUGAAAUUUCCUUUUUUGGACGACCAAUUUUCUUAGAAUGGGAGCAUUUCUAUGAUGCACCGAGUGGCUAAUGCUAACCAGGCUUGGUGUUUAAAGACUGUACAGACUAGAACUUGGUGAUGACUCCACUGACUGGGAAAUGUCUGCCUAUCACCUGUCCAACAUCACAGCCACAAGAAGGGAACACAGAUUCUUCCGGCGGCUGACUAUUAGGGAGAUUUCUUAAGAGAACCAGCACUCCAGGAUUUUUCGAGAAAGUUGGAUCUGCACAGCCGUUCCUGCUCUAUGAAACUCUACUGUUAGCAACUGGACACAACUGAUCCACUCGUACCCUGCGACUGAUCCGCUCGUAUCCUAGAACUGUUCUUCUGCUGAAUGUUGUUGACUCGAGCACUGCUGUACUGUUGCAGGUCGAAGGUACUGAAUCAACUUCACUGACACUGGACUUACAUUCACUGUUCAGGAUUUGAAGUAUCACAGACCAUUUGACAGAAAUACCUAUAUUUUGCAUUCAUUGUUUAUUUUAAAGGUUAACCUAUGAUGUAAAGGGGCUUGUUUGUUAAUAAAAUAAAUAGUUUGUUAAAACCACUGUUUGAAUUUUGCCUUUUUUAAACUUUACAAUGAACAGAAUUCUGUACUGUACAAUUUCCAAAUUUGCAAACUUUGUAUAAGUCAUGUUGGUCAUCUAAACAUGAAAUCUGUAUGACACUUUUUUAUAACAAGUAUAAAAAAAUUACACAAAAUGUGUAUAAAUCGUAUAUUACUUUAAUUUGACUAGCAUAUGAUUCAAUAUAAGAACUUUAAAUGAUUUGUAUAUGAAUUUAAGUUGUUUUGUAAUAAAACCAUAUA